rnacentral:lncRNA from 1 species
CCAGCACUUAUGAAUUUGCACUGGGAAAACCAACUACACAUCUGUGGAUGCAACCCUGUACAUCCUGGUCCAAAAAAGAUGAUUAAAAAGAGGCUGGGAAGUGGCCUUUUCAUUUGGUACCGUUUUUGGACCACAGAGUCUUUCUCAGCUCAUCAGUGCCCCCUGGUGGUAUGCAGGGUGAGGGGACAAUAACGAGUCCCAUUGUUCACCGGCUGGUGACUGAAGGACAUUUUCUCAGAAGCCCUGCACCUCCUCCCCUGUGACUCAGGCACUGUGAAUAAAAGGUGCUUCCAGGAAUUCCCGGUAGAAGAGGGAGUGCAGAACGGGAGAGCCAGGGCAAAGCAGGAGGAGCGCAGCCCUGGCAGGAACAGGUCAGCAUGCAGUUUGGAUCAAUAGGGAAACACCACGUCUCUUCGUGUGCACAGGCUUCUAAACUUCAUGGGAUUGUUUUCAGCAUCACAUGAGACCCUGAGUAAAAGGCUCACUGAGCCUGGGGUAUCGUGAACGCCGCACACAUGGUUGUUAUUAUUCACUUGGCAAUGCCCUGGUCUUCCUGUUCCCUAGCACUUCCGCAGUGGCAUGGAAAGGAGAGCAUAGGAAGCCUCUUUCCAACCGGCUGGGGGCUCCGUUGUGGCCUCCGCCACCCUAGGGCCAGGCUCCCAGUGUUCCAGCUUUUUGAUGUCCCGGCUAUUUCAAUUAUACCCACUCAUUCAGGGAGUCCCAUAAGUACCCAGGUACAUUAAUUUUCUUCAAAGUGCAUCUGCAAUGCAUGGUUGGCUGACACGCUGACAGCCCCAUCGCCAGCCAGGAGCCGUGGCAGAAGCAGCCCCACAGUCAGACCGGUGAGGUUAGGCUGGGAGUUGCUUGGACGCUCACUAGUGCUUCACCAUGAGAUUCUUCCCUGGAACAACUGGUGUGUGUUCUUGGCUGAACUCGGGUCCAUUAGACGUUGACUUCACAUUGACCUAAGAAGUUAAAGGAAAAGGGUCUCUGGCUGACGGGGGCGGGAGGGGGUGGGGUGGUGGGAACCGGCCACGCCGGGAAAGGUGCAGUAGGCGCACACAAUUGACUGAAGAGGACAGCUGAGACUUAUACGGAGGAUUCCACCUACGUCUCCAGCCAGCCUUACGGUUCUCCCACUGCUGCUCAACACUAAGGGCCCUGGGAGAGCGGGUGCGGGCGGCUGAGCUCUGCCCGCAUCCCACCUCUCACGCAGCCGCGGAGUGGACUCGGCCUGGGAACCCUUGUAAUCCAAUUGCGGGAGGAGGUGCCAGGAAUGACCCCUCCACCGUGGGCUGUGGGCGUGGUGGGAGGAUCAUUUCACCCCAGGACAAGGGUGAGCCCUUAGGAAGCUGGAAUAGAUACUUCGAAGCCCGAGAUGACCACUGUCCACGGCAGCCUCAGUCCCUUUCUCCCAGAACAUCAUUUAGCUGUUGAGCUAAAUCAUCCACUUGGCCCCUUACAGCCUCGACCUCGUCACAAUGAAGUAGAUGAGGCCACAGAAGCCUUUGUUAUCUCCACGAGCAGCUGGAGCCCGGCUUUGGCUGAGCCCUGGCAAUGCCUGCUACACCCCAGACCAAGGUGAUACGUGGGUGGCUGCUGCGAUCGGAAUGUUUACACCCCCCCACCGCCAUAUUCAUCUGUUGAAAUCCUCACCCGCAAGCAGACAGAAGACAACCAGCAUCUAUGAACCAGGAAGCCCCCACCAGGCACUGAAUCUGCCCCUGCGUGGAUCUUAGACUUGCAGACUCCAGAACUGUCCAAAUUUUGGUCUGGAGCCAGAGACAAUAUAGGAUGAAGUUUGAUUUGUUCCAAAACCCACAGAAAUCUCUAAAAUGGAAGAAUUUUCUUAGAACCAAAAGGCAUGGAAUUGAUGACAUGAAACUGCUAAACAUAUGGCAGUGUAUACGAAUACACCUGGAUAAAUACAUCUGGU